rnacentral:rRNA from 1 species
UACAGAGGGUGCGAGCGUUAAUCGGAUUUACUGGGCGUAAAGCGUGUGUAGGUGGUUGUUCAAGUCGGUUGUGAAAUCCCCGGGCUCAACCUGGGAACUGCUUCCGAGACUGAGCGACUAGAGUACGGUAGAGGGCGGUGGAAUUUCCGGUGUAGCGGUGAAAUGCGUAGAUAUCGGAAGGAACACCAAUGGCGAAGGCAGCCGCCUGGGCCUGUACUGACACUGAGACACGAAAGCGUGGGGAUCAAACAGG